UACGUAGGGUGCGAGCGUUGUCCGGAAUUAUUGGGCGUAAAGAGCUCGUAGGCGGCUUGUCGCGUCGGAUGUGAAAGCCCGGGGCUUAACUCCGGGUCUGCAUUCGAUACGGGCAGGCUAGAGUUCGGUAGGGGAGAUCGGAAUUCCUGGUGUAGCGGUGAAAUGCGCAGAUAUCAGGAGGAACACCGGUGGCGAAGGCGGGUCUCUGGGCCGAUACUGACACUGAGGAGCGAAAGCGUAGGGAGCGAACAGG
rnacentral:rRNA from 1 species